GCCGGCAUGGUGAAAUAGUAAUUACGACGGUAUCACGGAAUCCUCUAACUCUUCAAUUCUAGGUUCGAAUCCUAGUGUCGGCG
rnacentral:tRNA from 2 species